UUACCGAGUGAGGGCCCUCUGGGUCCAACCUCCCACCCGUGUUUAUUUUACCUUGUUGCUUCGGCGGGCCCGCCUUAACUGGCCGCCGGGGGGCUUACGCCCCCGGGCCCGCGCCCGCCGAAGACACCCUCGAACUCUGUCUGAAGAUUGUAGUCUGAGUGAAAAUAUAAAUUAUUUAAAACUUUCAACAACGGAUCUCUUGGUUCCGGCAUCGAUGAAGAACGCAGCGAAAUGCGAUACGUAAUGUGAAUUGCAAAUUCAGUGAAUCAUCGAGUCUUUGAACGCACAUUGCGCCCCCUGGUAUUCCGGGGGGCAUGCCUGUCCGAGCGUCAUUGCUGCCCUCAAGCACGGCUUGUGUGUUGGGCCCCGUCCUCCGAUCCCGGGGGACGGGCCCGAAAGGCAGCGGCGGCACCGCGUCCGGUCCUCGAGCGUAUGGGGCUUUGUCACCCGCUCUGUAGGCCCGGCCGGCGCUUGCCGAUCAACCCAAAUUUUUAUCCAGGUUGACCUCGGAUCAGGUAGGGAUACCCGCUGAACUUAAGCAUAUCAAUAA
rnacentral:rRNA from 1 species